rnacentral:lncRNA from 1 species
AUAGAAGAGAAUAAUUAUCUUAGCCAAAGAUGCUUCGUUUGAGAAAAACAAAAGACUUAAACCCCAAAAAGGUAUAUAAGAAUCUCAACACACUUUACAUGUAAUCAGUGAAUUGAUUCAUAAUAUUUGAGUUCUGCCUUUGAUAGUUUUUCGGUUAUCAUCAAUUAAGUUAAUCAGCCUAUUUAAAGAGAUUGGUUCUAUCAAGUUUUAAUAUCUUAGGGAAAAUUAUGUCUGACCAUAACUGAAUAGAUAUGUCAUCUAAAGACAAAAUAGUCUUCACCAUUUUAUAUAAAGCAUUAAAAAUGUAGUUGUGUACUCUUAUUUAGUCGAGUUCAGCCAACAGACAAUAUAUUCAUUUAAAAACAAAACUGCCCUUUUCUCUUAAAACCACACGAUUGCAGUUUCAUCUAUAAUGAAAUUCUUUUGUGAACUAUUUCAGUGACUUUGGAUAUUGUGAGUCACUUGGCUAGAUCGUUAUUUUAUCAGUAUGAGGUAAGUCUUAGAAAUUAAAGAAUUUUAUACCUGGCCAACCUUAUUCAUGCUUAGUCCCACCGGCCUCAUUUUAUACUUGAAGAGGACUCUGAGCCUCAGAGAAGUUCAGGAAGUUAGCCUAAGAUCACACAGCCAGUCAGCUGGCAGACCAGGUCUUGUCACCCACCCCAAAUUUCUAGUCCUACAUGGGCUCACUGCGGGGGCCUUGGGUUAUCUCACACAGAGCAUCCUUAACCAUUUUGAGUCCAAUACAAAUUAAGAAACAACUUUAGGAGUUCCCGUCGUGGCGCAGCGGUUAACGAAUCCAACUAGGAACCAUGAGGUUGCGGGUUCGGUCCCUGCCCUUGCUCAGUGGGUUAACAAUCCGGCAUUGCCGUAAGCUGUGGUGUAGGUUGCAGACGGCUCGGAUCCUGCGUUGCUGUGGCUCUGGCGUAGGCCGGUGGCUACAGCUCCGAUUCGACCCCUAGCCUGGGAACCUCCAUAUGCCGCGGGAGCAGCCCAAGAAAUGGCAAAAAGACAAAAAAAAAAAAAAGAAACAACUUUAAAAGCCUUCCAAAAUAACAAUGGGGGGGGGGUCUUACAGUUGAAAACAAGUGUUUCUAAUUUACAGAUUUUUAGAACACAUCUUAUUUGAUUUUAUCAAUAUGCAUUGAACCCUGUGGUAAGCAAAAUUUUAGGAUGAUCUCAAUGAACCUUCACCCUUCUACUGAAUAUGGGUGGAACUUAUGGAUAUGAUGGAAUUUUCCUACUGUGAGUAUGUUACAUUAUAGGGCAAAAGGAGAAAGAGUGGGCAUGAUCUCAUCAGAAGAACCCUUUAAAAGCAGAGAGUGCUUUGUGGCUGCAGAAGAAAUCAAAGAGAUGUGUUUCAACAGCCUAGAAGGAAGCAAACAUCACUGUUGUGAACUGCCAACAAGGCAAGAAACCAGGCAACCUCUAGGAGCUGAGAGUAGUUCCCGGACAACAGCUAGCAGGGCCAUGGGACACUGGUCCUAUACCUUCAAGAAGAUGAAUCCUGUCAACAAUCAGAUGCCGAGAAGAGGUUCUGAGCCCCAGACCUCUGAUCUAAAGACACUGUGAGAUAAUAAAUGUGUGUUGUUUCAAGCUGCUCAGUUUGUGGUGAUUUGUUACGCAGCAAUAGAAGCUAACAGAAGUCCUUCCACUGAAGCACAAUGAUAGGUGGUGAAAGCACAAAAAUGAAUAAGGCACAGUCCUUGUGUUAGAGACACUCGCUAUCUAGGGAACAGGGAGAGGCAAGUUGAUAAAGUACCCGAAUGCGCCGCUACACGAGCUGGAGCUGAGACAUGUACAAAGUGGUUCAGAAGCCAGAGGGGGAAAGUGGCAGGAAGCUUCACAGAAAGUUCGACUUAAGUUAUGUGAAGAAUUAAAGCGUGUGGAAGGGCAUUGAGAAAAUGGUGGGUGGUCCUGUGUGGCUGCAGUGACAGGGAGGAGAGGGCAGGACAGGAGACUGACAGCAUAGACUGGGAUCCCCUCUGUGAAGGACCUGAGGUAACAUGAUUUUCCCUGCAGCCACAUCCUCCCUUACUUCCCACCCUCAUCCAGAGGCAGCCCUUCUGGCUCCCGAUUCCUUAGAGUAUCUGGCCUCUCUACUCCAGUCCUUCUCAGUCCACUAGUCCUCAAGCGUGCUAAGCUCAGAUGUCCCCCUAGUAGCCCCCACGUCUUCAAUGCAACCAGGGGCGAGGGUGCCACAGACAGCAUCGCCCUCUCGUGUGUCUGGGCACCCUGCCUUCCUUCCUUCCUGCUCCAGGCAGCUUGAAAGCUACAUGAUCCAUGUCCUAGUUUCAAGGUCUGAUCCAAGAGUUUCAGGGUCGGCUGAGCAAAGAGGGAGAGAAUCCACUGGUUCCCUUCAACAUCAGGGCUGGCCAGAGACCCCGGAGCUUUGCUCCUUUGGAGCAUUUCUUGCCAGAGUAUAACCACAUGGUCAGGGGUGUACAGGAUGUACAGGGACUUCAUCCAAGCAACACAGUUCUGAUGCUAGCAAACAAAAAUCCACCAUAUACUUUUAGGACGUUAAAAGUCAAGUGUUGGCUGAAGCACCAAGACACACUAGGUGCUACAUCCAAAGGAAACCUCCGAUCACAUAAGGACUGUUACAGACUCGGGAGAGGAAGUUUGGCGCAUGUUUUUAAAGAAAGAUAUGCACUCGCUUCCUACCAAAGUAAAAUGUUAGGGUCAAGUAAUGUCAAGAAAAAAGGACAUGAGUGGGACUCAUCAGAAAGCCUCACGUACGUCUCUGGGUGGGAAGAACUCAGUGGUCUGGCUCCCUCCUGGGAAAUCAAGUGAAAGACAAGCUCACAGCUACGUCGGGGGCAGAGUGAAGGAGAGUGGCUGCUGCCUUGUGUCUGUCCAAGGAAAAGGGGGUGUGUGGGCGUGUGUGUCCGUGUGGGCGAGGGUGUGUGCAUGGCGCUACUUGGAUCAGAUAGCUGCCAAGCCUGCAAGAGCGCUGCCUGGGGGGGAGUCUUGGGUGCAGGCCGGCCUCGGAAGAGGUGAAGCAGAGGGAGAAGGCUGGUUCCUGUGGGCCGAGGAAGCAAACGCCUGCUCAAAUGGAGAGCACACAUGCCUGACUCAAGGGAAUGGCAGGCAAGACGUCACUAGCUAGGAGCCCAGUCUCCUAAGAACCUGUGAAACGUGGUCUGCUCUCAAUGUCUGCCAGGCCCGGAAAGCUGGAGGCUAUCCUGCAAUGUCACCAUUCAAAAGCCCACACUCCUGCUCCUCCCCACGCCUCCCACCCUGUCCCACUCUAGCCCCAGAAGGAUCAGAAGCCGGCAGGAGCAAGAGAGAAAGAACUUCCCCUUCCACAGCUGCCCCUGCAUACGGCUUCGCACUGGGAUAAGGGAAUGACAGUUUUAAAUCACGUUCCAAGUUGCAUAACACAGAAAUAGACACUCAACACAAUUUAGAGUGACCACGGACUUUCUGCUGCCUGAGAAUGCUCAAAAUGGUUCUGACCCUAUCUAGUUUUUAUUUUAUCCUAAACAGAGUGAGCGACCACCCAGUGAGUACAUUUUCUAGGGAUAGUGGAAGAUAUAAAUAAAAAUGCUGCCUAAUUUUACCCCAUAUUCAGAACAUUGAUUCCAUGUGCCUAGUAUUGUUUUCUACCUAUAGAUCUUCGAUGAAUUUAACUAUUCUUAUUUGAGAAAGGAACAUGGUCAUGUGACCAACAAUCCUGGAGCGUCUCAGUAAUCCCUCUGGCUCCAACAGCUGGCAAAUCGAAAGGCAGCUAUUUAGAAACAUGUCAUCUAAAAAGGUGGUUUGAUUAUCGCACUGUUGAUAAGCAUCAGACAAUGUUAUAUCACUUAUUAUAGUCAUUUUCCUAUAUUUGUGGCAGCAAUUAGUUUUCCUGUCUAAAAUUACAUUUAGGGAUCAAUUUAGUUUUAAAUAAAGACUGAUUUUGACAUAAGAAGCUCAUAAUAUUCUCCCACUCCCAAAGGAAAUAGUGAUAUAACCUCUCUUUUUUUUCCCCUAAGCUAAUGCUUUAAAAAAAAAAAAAAGUCAAAUUAACAUUGAGUUUGGUCUGCGUGUUGCUUUCUUCCAGAUGUCUCAUCAUAACACUGUAAGACUUUCUGGAACACACAACCCUUUGGCCAAUAUACGAAGGAAGCAAGGGUUCAAUCAAAUUAGGGUUGUUUUGUGUGUUGACUUAUAAUAACACCUCGACUCAUGGAAGUCUGACAAUAGGAAUCAAAGGAGGGUAGGGGCUCAGGAAGUGCUCUUAAAGAACCAUAGAAGGGAUUGAACGUACCACACGACAAUUAUAAUGAGCACUGCCAUAUGUCACAUAUGGAAGUUGCUGAGAGUAAAUCCUAAGAGUUCUCGGCACAAGAAAAACGCUUUUUUGGUCUAUUUCUUUAAUUUUGUAUUAUAUGAGAUGAUGGAUAGUCAUGAAACUUAUGGUAAUCCCUUUAUGAUUGUGUAAUCAAAUUAUUAUGCUAUACACCUUUAACAGUGCUAUAUGUCAAUAAUAGCUCCAUGAAGCUGGAAAAAUAAAAUCGGCCAUUGGAUUAAUACAAAGUUUUAAAAAUUCAAUUAAACAGAAAUGGUAAAUUUCAAAAAAAAGAAAAAGAACCCCAGAAACUGAGGCAGUAGCCUGCGCACAGUGCCUCAGCUUCUUUCUUCCUCUGUUCUCUUCCCGUCACCAGCCCCUGCUUUACUCACAGUCUCUGCUCUCUCAUAACUGCAGCUUGCUCACGUCCCUCGUUCUGUUGAGCAAUGUGGUGAUCCUAGUCCCUCAGCUUCUCUAUUCUGAAACUCCAAAGGAGGAUUUUUUUUUUAAUUCAGAAAAAUAAUAUAUUUAUACUAAUUUACUGCCUGACACACUUCAUUUUCCCAAACAUUUUGUGGCUCAAUAGGUUUUUUUUCUUUUCCAUUUGUUUAUUAUUAUUUUUUAAUAGGUAUUUCCCCAAUACAAUUUUUUUUUCGAUUGUACAGCAUGGUGACCCAGUUACACAUACAGGUAUACAUUCUAUUUUUGCACACAUCGCUUCUCGGCCUUUUGGCUAAAAUCAAGUGUAUUUUUGCACAUUAUCAUGUUCCAUCAUAAGUGCCUAGACAUAGUUCCCAGGGCUACAAAGCAGGAUCUCAUUG